GUAGGCGCUAUAGCCAAGUGGUUACGGCGACAGAUUAGAAAUCUGUUCCUCUUUGAGGGCGCAGGUUCGAAUCCUGCUGGCGUCGCUUAUUUUU
rfam:Amanita muscaria Koide BX008 unplaced genomic scaffold scaffold_4, whole genome shotgun sequence.